rnacentral:rRNA from 1 species
UAUUACUGGCUCAGGAUGAACGCUAGCUACAGGCUUAACACAUGCAAGUCGUGGGGCAGCAUGACGAUUGCUUGCAAUUGUUGAUGGCGACCGGCGCACGGGUGAGUAACGCGUAUCCAACCUUCCCCAUAGUAGGGUAUAGCCCGGCGAAAGUCGGAUUAAUCCCCUAUGUUGUUUGAAGCGGACAUCUAAUUCAAACCAAAGAUUCAUCGCUAUGGGAUGGGGAUGCGUCUGAUUAGGUUGCAGGCGGGGUAACGGCCCACCUGGCCGACGAUCAGUAGGGGUUCUGAGAGGAAGGUCCCCCACACUGGUACUGAGACACGGACCAGACUCCUACGGGAGGCAGCAGUGAGGAAUAUUGGUCAAUGGGCGCGAGCCUGAACCAGCCAAGUAGCGUGCAAGGAUGACGGCCCUACGGGUUGUAAACUGCUUUUAUGCGGGGAUAAAGUGCGGCACGUGUGCCGUUUUGCAGGUACCGCAUGAAUAAGGACCGGCUAAUUCCGUGCCAGCCGCAGC